rnacentral:rRNA from 1 species
AUUGAACGCUGGCGGCAUGCUUUACACAUGCAAGUCGAACGGCAGCGCGGGCUUCGGCCUGGCGGCGAGUGGCGAACGGGUGAGUAAUGCAUCGGAACGUGCCCAGUAGUGGGGGAUAGCCCGGCGAAAGCCGGAUUAAUACCGCAUACGCCCUGAGGGUGAAAGCGGGGGACCGAAAGGCCUCGCGCUAUUGGAGCGGCCGAUGUCGGAUUAGCUAGUUGGUGGGGUAAAGGCUUACCAAGGCGACGAUCCGUAGAUGGUCUGAGAGGACGACCAGCCACACUGGGACUGAGACACGGCCCAGACUCCGACGGGAGGCAGCAGUGGGGAAUUUUGGACAAAGGGGGCAACCCUGAUCCAGCCAUGCCGCGUGCGGGAAGAAGGCCUUCGGGUUGUAAACCGCUUUUGUUCGGGAAGAAAUCCUCUGGGCUAAUACCCCGGGGGGAUGACGGUACCGGAAGAAUAAGCACCGGCUAACUACGUG